rnacentral:rRNA from 1 species
CCUACGGGAGGCAGCAGUGAGGAAUCUUGGUCAAUGGACGAGAGUCUGAACCAGCCAAGUAGCGUGAAGGAUGACUGCCCUAUGGGUUGUAAACUUCUUUUAUAUGGGAAUAAAAUGUUCCACGUGUGGGAUUUUGUAUGUAACAUAUGAAUAAGAAUCGGCUAACUCCGUGCCAGCAGCAGCGGUACUACGGAGGAUCCGAGCGUUAUCCGGAUUUAUUGGGUUUAAAGGGAGCGUAAGUGGAUUGUUAAGUCAGUUGUGAAAGUUUGCGGCUCAACCGUAAAAUUGCAGUUGAAACGGGCAGUCUUGAGUACAGGAGAGGUGGGCGGAAUGCGUGGUGGAGCGGUGAAAUGCUUAGAUAUCACGAAGAACUCCGAUUGCGAAGGCAGCGCACUGGACUGCAACUGACACUGAGGCUCGAAAGUGUGGGUAUCAAACAGGAUUAAAUGCCCUUGUAGUC